rnacentral:lncRNA from 1 species
AUUCGUGUCAUGAGAAAACCCAAGCACCUAUGGGAUAGCCUCUGCAGGGUUUUGAAGAACUCAUUUGACCCAAAGGAUCCCUAUUCUCACUUGAUGGAGGUCAGGAGGCUUACAGAGGAAGGCGAGAGACUUCAUCCACAAAGACUGCACUUUUGGCCAUUUUGGUUUUUAAUGCACACUUGAAAACUUUCUUUAGAUCCAUCAGGUGCUGAGAAUCUAAGCCACAGCCUCACACAGGGCCAAGAGGCUGAUUUAGACACAUCCCUUUCCAAAGCAAUUAAGCAAAGAGCCACAGGUGAUGCCCAAUCAUUUCCAUUUGAAAACUGUUUUCUUCAGUCUUCACAAAGGAGUGGCCUGAGUCAAAGACCUUCCUGACAUUCAGGGCAACAGAACAAUAGGUAAGCAAAAGGCCCAAAGCAGUGUUUCUCCCCUGCGACUUUACUGGUCACACUGAUAUCUGAGUUUUCUGAGAUGCUCCCAUUCCCUUCAGCUAUCCAGUACAUGGCCAUGUCACAGAGCUUGGAGGUGGUACAUAUCUUGGACACAAAACCAUGAUUCAUUUCUGGAGAGUGUCCAGAUUUCAGGAGGAAAUCAGAAACAUAGGAAUGUAGUAUGUGCUGCAAAUCCAUAAGGCAAGCUGCUCUCCAUCGAUUAAUUGUGCAGGAUGAAAGCUGGGAAGCUUUCUACUAGACAGGACAUAACCAUUGAUGCAUUCACUUUUCAAAUGUCUACAACCACGGACACAGUGGGAUACACAGACAUAGAAACACUUGCAUUGUUAAACGACUUUCUAGAAACAGUCCAGUCCAAACAAACCAACCAUCUUUCCUACCUAUUUUCAGGACAUGAGACAAAACCACAAACUCAUACCAACACCCAGAAUGGCACCUCCUUCCCCCAAGUAUGUCUGUGACUAUCCUGAGUGUCCUCUGACUGGUGUCCCACAGUAUGAUCCCCAAAAUGGCCUGUCCUGUCUCAGAUCUGGUAUCCUUGGUCAAAUCUUUGAAGUUGUCAGGAGCUAUGGUUGAGUUACUACCUGCUUUCUCAGAAAAGGCCCCUCUUCAGAGCUGUCCUGGCAUUUGGCCAUGCUCACAUCAGUAGGUACCAAGAAAGACUGACUCUGUCCUUGGUAAAUCCAAACAACUGAGACCCC